rnacentral:rRNA from 1 species
GAAAUUUAAGGGCGUAUGGUGGAUGCCUUGACUUUAAGAGGCGAUGAAGGACGUGGCGUUGCUGCGAUAAGCUUCGGGGAGGUGCUUAGCUACCUUUGAUCCGGAGAUUUCCGAAUGGGGAAACCCUAUCAAGUAAACCUUGAUAACUUUUAUCUUUAUGAUAAAAGAGCAUACCCUGGGAAGUGAAACAUCUCAGUACCAGGAGGAAUAGAGACAAAUAUGUAUUUCCUUAGUAGCGGCGAGCGAAAAGGAAGAAGCCCAAACCGUUCUCGCAAGAGGGCGGGGUUGUAAGAUGACAAUGUAGUUUACUAGGAGAGUUAAAAAAUAAAUUAUUAGUUGAAGUUGCUGGAAAGCGACACCGUAGGGGGUGAUAGUCCCGUAAACGAAAAUAAUUUAUCUCUUUUAUUGUUAUUCUUGAGUACCCCAGGACAUGAAUGGCCGGGGGGAAUCUAGCGGAACUAACCGCUAAGGCUAAAUACUCUUAAAGAUCGAUAGUGAACAAGUACCGUGAGGGAAAGGUGAAAAGCAGCCCGAUUAGGGCGGUGAAAUAGACCUGAAACCAUAUGUCUACAAGGAGUCGGAGCAGGUAUUUAUAUCUGCAACGGCGUGCCUAUUGAAGAAUGAGCCAACGAGUUUAUUCAUACUGCAAGGCUAAGCUGGCUAAAACAGCAGAGCCGAAGGGAAACCGAGUGUUAAUAGCGCGAAUGAGUAGUAUGCAUAAGACCCGAAGCCAGGUGAGCUUGCCAUGAGCAGGUUGAAGUUUGUCGAAAGACAAAUGGAGGACCGAACCGGUAGAUCGUACAACGUCUUCGGAUGACUUGUGGUAAGGAGUGAAAAGCUAAUCGAACCUGGUAAUAGCUGGUUCUCUCCGAAAUAGCUUUAGGGCUAGCGUCAAGUGUUUUUUCUGGGGGUAGAGCACUGGAAGGUUUCGACAGGGAGCAAUCUCGCGAAACCUAUCAAACUCCGAAUACCAGAAACCAUAGCUUGGCAGUUAGGCCAUGGGGGCGAAGCUCCAUUGGCCAAAAGGGAAACAGCCCAGAUCUCAAAAUAAGGUCCCUAAAUUUAUGCUAAGUGUAAGAUAAGAAGGUGGAAUUUCUCUGACAAUGAGGAGGUUGGCUUAGAAGCAGCCAUCCUUUAAAGAUAGCGUAACAGCUCACUCAUCUAGAGAUUUUGCGUCGAAAAUAAUUGGGGCUAAGCAUAGUACCGAAUUUGAGGAUUUCGUUUUUCUUCGGAAGAACGGAGUGGUAGGAGAGUGUUCCAAUCUGCUGUGAAGUAGGACUCGUGAGAGCCUAUGGAGCGUUUGGAAGUAAGAAUGUUGGCACAAGUAACCGCAAUGAGGGUGAGAUCCCCUCACGUCGAAAGAUCAAGGUUUCCUUGGUAAUGUCAAUCAGCCAAGGGUUAGUCGGGCCUAAGGGAAUGGAGAAAUCCGUACUCGAUGGACAUAGGGUUAAUAUUCCCUGACUUCUGUAUUUUGUGAUGGGACGACGGAGUGUAGUAUGUAUUGCUCAUUAUUGGAUUUGAAGUUUGUUUACUAAAGAUGAGGUGUAGGAAAAUCCGCACACUGCUUUCAAUGGCAAAUCUAAGGUAAAUGAAAAGUCUUAAGCCUCGGUUUAGGACAAUAAUACAAAGCACGCUUCCAAGAAAAAUCUCUAAACUUAAAAAUAUAGAAUCCGUACCGCAAACCGACACAGGUGAUCAGGUCGAGUAGACCAAGACGAACGAGUGAGUGGUCCCCAAGGAACUCGGCAAAAAAGCAGCCGUAACUUCGGGAUAAGGCUUGCCCCCACCACUUUGGAUAUUUCUAAAUAUUUGAGAGUGUUGGGAGAGUAAGAUUUAAGUAUCGAGCAAAAAGAGACAAUGAGGAAUUAAAUUAAAGCUCUUCAUCAUUUUUUAUUUCACAGAAUUUUUUUGUGAAGUAUCUAAAGUGGUGGGGGCCGCAGCGAAAGUUUCUCUGGCAACUGUUUACCAAAAACACAGCUCCCUGCGAACUCGUAAGAGGAUGUAUAGGGGGUGACGCCUAGCCAGUGUCCGAACGUUAAGGGGAGAGGUUAGACCUUCGGGUUGAAGCUUUGAACUGAAGCGCGGAUGAACGCCGGC